GAUGAAGAACGUAGCGAAAUGCGAUACUUGGUGUGAAUUGCAGAAUCCCGUGAACCAUCGAGUGUUUGAACGCAAGUUGCGCCCGAAGCCAUCAGGUUGAGGGCACGUCUGCCUGGGCGUCACAUAUCGUUGCCCUAUGCCUAUUGCAGUGCAAUAGGAAUUUCUAGGGCGAAUGAUGGCUUCCCGUGAGCGUUGUUGCCUCGCGGUUGGUUGAAAAUCGAGUCCUUGGUAGGGUGUGCCAUGGUAGAUGGUGGUCGAGUUAGAACGAUACCGAUCAUGUGCAUGCUCCCCAAAAUAUGGCCUCUAUGACCCACACGCGUCUUUUGACGCUCAUGACGAGACCUCAGGUCAGGCGGGGCUACCCGCUGAAUUUAAGCAUAUCAAUAAGCGGAGGA
rnacentral:misc_RNA from 1 species